rnacentral:lncRNA from 1 species
AUGACUGACCUUGAUGUUUUGCUUAUUAGUUUGAAACAAGCACCGGGGGCAAGUUGGUGAACAUAAGUAAUUGGGUUAUAAGGCUUGCUAUGUUAAGGAUUUGUUGUAUUAGUAUGAGGCCUAUCGGAGUUUAUGCUAAAGGCUGGGUUUUAGCUAACCUAGUACAGUCCAGAAGGUCAUAAUUUUUAAAUUUCAUUCAGAGAAGGUAAAUAAGAGACCAAAGAAGGGACAAUGCACUGUAAAAUUCUGUAAUAGGGGAGUUUGAGGGUGGGGGGUUGCAGUUAGGUUGCUAGGCAAUAGGUAAGUAGUUAGACUACACUGACAUGCACAGGAAUUAUUAGGGAAAGAUUGAGAAAAGAUUGACACAAGUGUUAAUUAUGGACACAGAAUGCCACAGAUGGAAUAGGGGCAGGCAUUAUGAUGAUUCGGUACUAGAACAAAUAUGGAUAUACAUCUGUGAUAUCUGCAUAAUGUGGGGUAUAAGACACCAUGCCUAGUUCCCUUUUCUUGCUUUCUCUCCGGCUCUGAACUGAUGUCAACUGGAUCUGGGGCCUUCGGAGUUUCUCCACUUACUACUGUUUCACCCCUGUAUUUUGCUCGUCUAUUCGAGUAUCUCUGUGAUAGGAGACCCCCACCAUCUCAAAAUCUGUGAGAGCAGGAAAGAGAAGACCUCCUUCCACCACAGUUCAUUCUGGAAGCAGAAUCAGGAAGAAAGCAAGGAGGUGGCACUAGAAGAAAGAUGCUGAAUAAAUGUACUUGAGCUUCCA